rnacentral:rRNA from 1 species
GCUCACCAAGGCGACGACGGGUAGCCGGCCUGAGAGGGCGACCGGCCACACUGGGACUGAGACACGGCCCAGACUCCUACGGGAGGCAGCAGUGGGGAAUAUUGCACAAUGGGCGAAAGCCUGAUGCAGCGACGCCGCGUGAGGGAUGACGGCCUUCGGGUUGUAAACCUCUUUCAGCAGGGAAGAAGCGAAAGUGACGGUACCUGCAGAAGAAGCGCCGGCUAACUACGUGCCAGCAGCCGCGGUAAUACGUAGGGCGCGAGCGUUGUCCGGAAUUAUUGGGCGUAAAGAGCUCGUAGGCGGCUUGUCGCGUCGGUUGUGAAAGCCCGGGGCUUAACCCCGGGUCUGCAGUCGAUACGGGCAGGCUAGAGUUCGGUAGGGGAGAUCGGAAUUCCUGGUGUAGCGGUGAAAUGCGCAGAUAUCAGGAGGAACACCGGUGGCGAAGGCGGAUCUCUGGGCCGAUACUGACGCUGAGGAGCGAAAGCGUGGGGAGCGAACAGGAUUAGAUACCCUGGUAGUCCACGCCGUAAACGGUGGGCACUAGGUGUGGGCGACAUUCCACGUCGUCCGUGCCGCACUAACGCAUUAAGUG